UACUGCUUGUGCUAAGGUGCAUCUAGUGCAGAUAGUGAAGUAGAUUAGCACCUACUGCCCUAAGUGCUCCUUCUGGCAUAAGGGGCUGUGAUCUG
ensembl:miRNA mir18b microRNA 18a